UCCCACCAUCAUUACAAACGUCCAGGGUGCUUAGAAGACCAAGGAAUCAAGGUCAGCUGUAUUCACAGUCUUGAGCCUUCACCCUCUUACCCGAUAACAGGCGAUUCCCAGUCCUAGCCAGGUAAGGCACGAAGGUGAUCUCUUACAGGCUUGCAGGUAGGUUUUCUUUGCCUUUUCAUACUGUAGGAAGAAAGCGCCCCUAAGCUAUUGUUCUUCUGGAAGUUUCAAAUGUUGUAUUGCUAAGUUAGUCAUGGGGCAUCUGUAGUUGUACCAAAGACCUAUCUAAGUUAAAGGAACCCUUAAAUUGUUUUUUUUGUUUGUUUGUUUAGAGCAGUUUUAGGUUCACAGCAAAAUUGAGAGGAAGGUACAGAGAUUUCUCAUAUACAUCCUGUUGCUGCAUAUGCAUAACCUCUCCCAUUAUCAACAUGCCCCAUCAGAGUGGUACCUUUGUUACAACUGAUGAAACUAUGCUAAUACAUCUUCAUCACCUAAAGCCCAUGGUUUACCUUAAGGUUUGCAUUUGAUGUUAUACAUUCCAUAGGUUUGGACAAAUGUAUAAUGACAUGUAUCCAUUAUUAGAGUAUUUUCACUGUCCUAAAAAUCCUCUGUGCUCCAUCUAUUCAUCACUUCCCUUCCCCAACCCAAUCACUGAUUUCUUUACUAUCUCCAUAGUUUUGUCUUUUCCAGAAUGUCAUACAGUUGGAAUCAUACAAUAUGCACCCUUCUCAGAUUGGCUUCUUUCACUUAGUAAUAUCUAUUUAAGCUUCCUUUAUGUUUCUUCAUGGUUUGCUAGCUUAUCUCUUUUUAGCACUGAGUGAUACAGGAAACAUUAAGAAAAACUAAAAAAAAUUUUUCAGAAGAAGUAGAUUACUUCUUGUCUUGUAUCUCCAAUGUGAGAGAUGCAACUAUAGGUAAGCCUCAGCAAAUAGCCUAAGAAUUGCUUGCCUAGGGAAAUUGCUUGCCUUGACUACAUAAGUCAGAAGCUCUAUUCAGAUGCAGCUUGCAAUGAUGUCAGAAAGGAAAGUUUCUUUCAGGGAAGUACACUGCAAUGGGAUAGUGAUUUUUCUCUCUCAAGCCUAUGUGAGCCAUCAUACUUACAUUAUAAUGCAUUGUAAUUUCUUGUUGCUCUUGUUUUAUUUUAUAUAGAAAGAAAAUUGGGUGUUCUGGAGGCAGAAAUGGAAUGAAGUCAAAACAAAAACAGAAUCAAAAGGACUUUGGCAAAAUAUUGAUAAUUGUUAACAUGGGAUGGUUAGCCCAUGUUGGUUCAUUCUACUAUUCUAUUUUAUAUGUAUUUGAAAUUUUCCAUAACAGAAAGUUUCUUUUAGAAGGUCUUGGGGUGGUUCCUAAAAUAUGGACAGUAAUUACUAAAGAGUCAGGUCAGAGUGUCCUAUGGAAUGGGGCUAGCUACCCUCAGCCAAAUAAACUAUAAACCUCUGUGCUGAGGAAGAAGUUUGGAGAAGGUCUUUUGAUAUUUUCCAUUAAUAAAGUCAAGCUAAGAAUGUUUUUACUACUGCUAAUAAAAGGAAGUUUGCUUAAAUAGUAACUACAAUAACAUUUAUUGUAUAAAUGUAUACAUUUAUGAUACAGCUUUUUAGUAUCAUAGUGGUUAAAACCACAGACUGUAGUAUUAGACUGCCUGGGUUUGAAUCCUGAUUCUAUUAAUUACUAGUUUCUCUAAUGUUGGUCAAGUCACUUUACUUUUGGAUGUAAAAGUAUCAUUAUUAUAUGAGUAUGUGUAGUCCACACAGAUGAAUGCUAAUGCUUGAACUGUAGUCAGGUCUCAGACCAUAACCUGAUUUAUUUACAUGGUUACUCCCCAUCCUGUAUCCCUCACCUCUUUCUCUUCCAGAUAGAUUUGUCCCAGUCGCAGGAAGAUGAAGUGCAUCUCAGAAGCAUCCACUACAAAACUAAUGGUUCGCUCAUAGCAUGCCUUGGCCUCAGCAUGAUUUCCACUUAGAAAAUAGAGAUGGCCCUUCAUGCCCCAGACAUUAGGGUUCUGAGAAAGUAAAGAACAAGUGGUACCUGGGAUGAGGUGGUAUUUAUAAAUACAUUAAUGAUCUUUGUUUAACAUUUAAAAUUAGAUUAAGUCCUUUUUUCCUUUUCCUAAUAGCAUUCAAUUAGAAAGAGGGCCAUUCAGUUGCACUGGGAGAUAAUUUUCUAGGUCUGCUCUCUCAUUUCUUUCUUGCAUUCUUCAAAACCAUUUUGUCUUUGGGGUAAAUAUUAAGAAAAACUUCAAAUAUAACCAAGACAAUGUUCACAAUGAGAAAACAGAAGAAGUCCAGAAGACUUGAAAUAGAUCAACUAUCUGCUAAAGA
rnacentral:lncRNA from 1 species